UACGUAGGGUGCGAGCGUUAAUCGGAAUUACUGGGCGUAAAGCGUGCGCAGGCGGUUUUAUAAGCCAGAUGUGAAAGCCCCGGGCUCAACCUGGGAAUGGCAUUUGGGACUGUAAGGCUGGAGUAUGGCAGAGGAGACUAGAAUUCCUGGUGUAGCAGUGAAAUGCGUAGAUAUCAGGAGGAAUACCGAUGGCGAAGGCAGGUCUCUGGGCCAAUACUGACGCUCAUGCACGAAAGCGUGGGGAGCAAACAGGAUUAGAUACCCUGGUAGUCCACGCCCUAAACGAUGUCAACUGGUUGUUGGGGGAUUUAUUCUCUUAGUAACGAAGCUAACGCGUGAAGUUGACCGCCUGGGGAGUACGGUCGCAAGAUUA
rnacentral:rRNA from 1 species